rnacentral:lncRNA from 1 species
UUUAUCUUUUAGUCCUCUGAAGAGCGUUGAGAAUGGAAAUCAUAAGAUAUUUUUUCCAUUAGGAAGUUCUUUUUACAAGGCGUUUAUUCAGGUUGACUUCUCGGCACCCCGCGGGGCGGGCAACGGGCAGGGCCUCCAGUGCACCUUCUGCGCAGUGGAGCCGCGGGGGCCCAGCUGGGCGGUGGUCGGGUCGUGAGGCGGGAGGGCGGGAGCGGGGGAAGGGAAAAGCAAAAGCGGGGAAAGAAGCCGGGGAGCGGUGGACCAGACAUUCAGACCUCCUGAAAGGCUCGUGCGGAGGCAGAGGCGGGAUCUUCCGGAGGUUCACGUUGGAUACAGCACCGGAGACAAGAAACUGAGUGAAUUUCUGGUGUUUUCUUACAGAG